ACUCGAAGCGCUCUCUACACCGUUGCUGCUAAAGAUGUGAAGGCCGAUGUCUUCUCCUUGCCGUUGGAAGCCACCGCUGAAGUCAUGGGAGCGCCGGUUGCGCGAGUUCUCCCGAUUCUUUCAUCAGCCAAGCGGCGAAAACAUGCGGGAGAUGUGAGCGGGUCUGCAAGCGAAGCCAAUUUCAGGCAAGUGCAGCGAAGCGGCGCAGACCAGCCCCUCCUGCAAGCGAAGCGAUGAAUUUAUUCUUCUUUAUUUUGGGCAAAAGUUCAUUUUGUUCGACGGCGCCUACUAAAAAAAUUCCCAAAUCAUAGUCUUGGGCUAGAGAAAUUUCAGAUUUCGAAUCAAUAGUCGGUAAUUCCAGUAACCUCUUUUCUCCCACCGACGACGAUGAAGCCAACCACACCACUUGCUCCAAUUCUAGCUGCCUACGAAUCCACCGGUAAACAUCGGAAGAAAGGGGCUGCUAUGGGAUGGAUUGUACCUCUUGUAAUUAUGUUAAUUAUACUCCUUAUGAUAUUUAAUUUAGGAUUUAGUUUUGAUUAGAAUUAAAUUAUGUUGGAAUAUGGAUUUGGUUUAGAUUGGAUUUAGUUGUCGAAUUUAUAUACAUAGUUGGUAUAUGAUUGGUGAAUUGCAGACUGUCUAGGAGAUUUUUUUUUAUUUUCUUAUGAUGAUUUUAGGAUUAAUCGAUAAUUUAGACAAGGCACGAACAGCCUCCAAGGGCUGAUUGCAGAUUGUGUUGAAUUGAUUCGAUUUGAGUAAUUUAAGGCAUUCGAUGGAAAAUCUGCAUAUAACAAGCUGUUGCUGUGCGCGUAUUCUGGAAUUUUCAGAAUGUUGAGAAAUAGAUUUGACACUUAGUUUGCAAUAAGUGUAAGGAUGUCGAUGUUUGGAAAGUUCCUAAACCACGAAGAUACUUCCAUGAUGUUGAAAAAUCCCUACCGAGCUUACUCAAGGUUGUUCGAGGACGAACAACAAUUCAAGUGUGAGGAGAGAAGUCAUCAGCACCACCAAAAAUUUUGAAAGAAUCUAGUUGCACAAGACAUGAAUCAGGGAAGUUCUUGAUUCCCUUAUCGAUUAUUUAUGCCGGCUUAUUUAUUGAUUGCUAAUUUGUUGUUUUGUAGAAUAAUUGCUUCUUAGAUAAAUUAAUAGUUGUAAUAUAGUUGAUUAGAUUAAUUUUGAGAGCAGUUGUACAUUUUUUAGCUUACUGUUACUUAGUUGUUUUGGUUCAUCCUUGAUCCUAACUGUACCAUUUUAGGCUAGUUUAGUUGGCUUUAGUUGCGGUAGCGUAGAAUUAGUUAGCUUAACUAGUUAUAUAUUUUCUCUUUUGUAUUUUUAGUUGGGUGUUCUGCUAUAGUUUUUAGCCUUAUACAAUAUGUUGCUCACUUUAAGUUUUGUUAGAUUUAGUGCUGCAUGUUUAGUUUAGUUGAUGCAUACUUGUUGAUUGCAUUAGGCUAGCUUACUAGAUAGUCUUAGAAAUCUUCUGCUGCUGAGUAUUAUUGAUGGGAUAAUUGUUAAGUUAUACUUUUCUUCUUCUUUAGUUUAAGGAUUAGUGGUGUGAUUAGAAGUUAGCACAUAAUUAAUUAAUUGGAAGUAGUUCAGAUAGGGCAUUCUUUAGUCUCGUAUUAGAAAGUGUGUGUUUGCUAAAUGUACCCUUCAUUAGCUUUUGGCUGGUAUGAUGCUAUUCAAUUCAUUUUACUAGCUUAUUGAUUAAUUAUGUAAACAUUGGAUUGAUUGUCUCAAAACCUCGUCUAGGCUCGGCUGGUUGCUUGAUUGAUCGUGUUUUUGAUCGAAGGAAAGAGGUCUUGCUGUUUAGAUGAAUAUUCAAUAAAAACCCUCCGAACAUGCUGCUGCUGGUUCCAUAAUCUGAAAGUUUCAGAUUUAUUCCAUACUGAUUUGACAUUUAUUUUGAAAUAAGUGUGAGGCGUCUGUUUUGAAGAUUUCCGAGCAGCGAAGAAAUCGAAAAGGGAGUUUCAUAACAUCAUGUUUUAAUUGAUUACAUCUAUAUGAACCGUGCUAUUUUUGAAUUGUUAUUUGGUUUGAUUGCAGUCCCUCUCACGAGCUAAUCAAGUUGUUCAAGAGCGAAUAACAAUUCAAAUGUGAGGAGUUGCGGGAAUUUGGAUCGGCAACACCAAAAAUUUUGAAAAAGUUAAGGGUGCAAGACCUGCAAAAUCAAGGAAGUUUGUUUGCCUUAUUGAUAGAAUAUUUUAGCUUGCUAAUUUUUUGACUGCUAACUUGUUAGAUAGUAGAAUAUGUGUUACGUAGAUAAAUUAAUAAUCGUAAUAUAAUUGCAGCAGUUUAAUUUUCAGAUUGGUUUAGAAGUAAUGAUAGCAUAAUUUAGCUUGUUGUGUAGACAGAUCGGUUAGUUCUAAGUUCUGUUCAUAGUCUACGUAACUUAGUCUUAGUAAUAGGGUUGUUCAAUGGAUAUUUAUUUGAGUACUUGUUUGACUUAAUUUUAAGAGACUAGGUUGUAGUCUAUCUUUCUUCAGAGCAUUAGUUUAGGAUGUUGAUUAUUUGUAUGCUUUUGUUU